CCCGCUCUCCGCUCCCCGCUCCAAAGUUUUCGCCUCUUAAACCCGCUUCAGGUCAUUUCCUCCUCUUCCUCUUCUUCCUUUGGAUUGUUUCUCUCGUUUAACGUUGUGAUGAACUCUAUUUGUUUGAUGCGGAUCGGAGGUCGUGUGAUUUACUUCAUCGUCUCCACCAAAUCUCGGGAGCAUUCGGGUCGAGAAGAAAGAUUCCAGUUCCAGCUAAAGAUGUCAGCUAUCCCUCCAACCACUCCACCUUGGAACAUUCAACUAUUACGGGCCGGGCUAUAGGAGAUACUGGAUGUCAAUGUUUAACUUUUGAAUUGGUACAGCAUUAUUAACCUGGGAUCAGGCAUCCAACAUAUCUUUGACGGCUUCUAUAUACCCGAGUCGGUUGCCUCCAUAAAUCUAUCAAACGUAGUUUUUAUCAAGGAAGAGUUCGAA